CAAUAGCGUAUAUUAAAGUUGUUGCAGUUAAAAAGCUCGUAGUUGAAUGUCUAUUCACAGUAAAGUGAUUUAAUCGUUUUGCUGUGGAUAUCCGACAAUGAAUGGAGUAGGGAAUUUAUUUACCCGCUUCACGAACUGUCAUUUUACUUUGAAAAAUUAGAGUGUUUCAAGCAGGCAAUCGCUUGAAUAUCUUAGCAUGGAAUAAUGGAAUACGACUUUAGUUCAUUUUAUUGGUUAUUGAAUUUAAGUAAUGAUUAAUAGGGACAGUUGGGGGCAUUAGUAUUUAAUUGUCAGAGGUGAAAUUCUUGGAUUUAUUAAAGACUAACUUAUGCGAAAGCAUUUGCCAAGGAUGUUUUCAUUAAUCAAGAACGAAAGUUAGGGGAU
rnacentral:rRNA from 1 species